rnacentral:rRNA from 1 species
ACUCCUGACUGACCGAUAGUGAACCAGUACCGUGAGGGAAAGGCGAAAAGAACCCCGGCGAGGGGAGUGAAACAGAACCUGAAACCGUGUACGUACAAGCAGUGGGAGCCUCUUUAUGGGGUGACUGCGUACCUUUUGUAUAAUGGGUCAGCGACUUAUAUUCUGUAGCAAGGUUAACCGUUUAGGGGAGCCGCAGGGAAACCGAGUCUUAACUGGGCGUUAAGUUGCAGGGUAUAGACCCGAAACCCGGUGAUCUAGCCAUGGGCAGGUUGAAGGUUGGGUAACACUAACUGGAGGACCGAACCGACUAAUGUUGAAAAAUUAGCGGAUGACCUGUGGCUGGGGGUGAAAGGCCAAUCAAACCGGGAGAUAGCUGGUUCUCCCCGAAAGCUAUUUAGGUAGCGCCUCGUGAACUCAUCUCCGGGGGUAGAGCACUGUUUCGGCUAGGGGGCCAUCCCGGCUUACCAACCCGAUGCAAACUGCGAAUACCGGAGAAUGUUAUCACGGGAGACACACGGCGGGUGCUAACGUCCGUCGUGAAGAGGGAAACAACCCAGACCGCCAGCUAAGGUCCCAAAGUCAUGGUUAAGUGGGAAACGAUGUGGGAAGGCCCAGACAGCCAGGAUGUUGGCUUAGAAGCAGCCAUCAUUUAAAGAAAGCGUAAUAGCUCACUGGUCGAGUCGGCCUGCGCGGAAGAUGUAACGGGGCUAAACCAUGCACCGAAGCUGCGGCAGCGACGCUUAUGCGUUGUUGGGUAGGGGAGCGUUCUGUAAGCCGUCGAAGGUG